GAUGAACGCUGGCGGCGUGCCUAAUACAUGCAAGUCGAGCGAACAGACGAGGAGCUUGCUCCUCUGACGUUAGCGGCGGACGGGUGAGUAACACGUGGAUAACCUACCUAUAAGACUGGGAUAACUUCGGGAAACCGGAGCUAAUACCGGAUAAUAUAUUGAACCGCAUGGUUCAAUAGUGAAAGACGGUUUUCCUGUCACUUAUAGAUGGAUCCGCGCCGCAUUAGCUAGUUGGUAAGGUAACGGCUUACCAAGGCAACGAUGCGUAGCCGACCUGAGAGGGUGAUCGGCCACACUGGAACUGAGACACGGUCCAGACUCCUACGGGAGGCAGCAGUAGGGAAUCUUCCGCAAUGGGCGAAAGCUUGACGGAGCAACGCCGCGUGAGUGAUGAAGGUCUUCGGAUCGUAAAACUCUGUUAUUAGGGAAGAACAAAUGUGUAAGUAACUAUGCACGUCUUGACGGUACCUAAUCAGAAAGCCACGGCUAACUACGUG
rnacentral:rRNA from 1 species